rnacentral:rRNA from 1 species
UAAUACGGGGGGAGCAAGCGUUGUUCGGAUUUACUGGGCGUAAAGGGCGCGUAGGCGGCCAGCACAAGUCAGUUGUGAAAUCUCCGAGCUUAACUCGGAAAGGUCAACUGAUACUGUGCGGCUAGAGUGCGGAAGGGGCAACUGGAAUUCUUGGUGUAGCGGUGAAAUGCGUAGAUAUCAAGAGGAACACCUGCGGCGAAGGCGGGUUGCUGGGCCGACACUGACGCUGAGGCGCGAAAGCCAGGGGAGCGAACGGGAUUAGAUA